AUUGAACGCUGGCGGCAGGCUUAACACAUGCAAGUCGAACGAGUGGAGGACGGGUGAGUAAUGGUUGGAACUCUAGCUUAUGGAGGGGGCUAACUACGGGAAACUGUAGCUAAUACCGCGUACCAUACGAUUGGCCCAAGUGGGAUUAGGUAGUUGGGGUGGUAUAGGCUCACCAAGCCGACGCUCUCUAGCUGGUCUGAGAGGAUGACCGGCCACACUGGGACUGAGACACGGCCCAGACUCCUACGGGAGGCAGCAGUGGGGAAUAUUGCGCAAGGGGCGCAAGCUGACGCAGCCAUGCCGCGUGAAUGAAGAAGGCCUUCGGGUGGUAAAGUUCUGUCGGUAGCGAGGCGUUAACUACAGAAGAAGCACCGGCUAACUCCGUGCCAGCAGCCGCGGUAAUAC
rnacentral:rRNA from 1 species